UACAGAGGGGGCAAGCGUUGUUCGGAAUUACUGGGCGUAAAGCGCACGUAGGCGGCUUGGUAUGUCGGGUGUGAAAUCCCCGGGCUCAACCUGGGAACUGCAUCCGAAACUGCCUUGCUAGAGUAUGGGAGAGGGAAGUGGAAUUUCCGGUGUAGCGGUGAAAUGCGUAGAUAUCGGAAGGAACAUCAGUGGCGAAGGCGGGUCUCUGGGCAACAACUGACGCUGAGGAGCGAAAGCGUGGGGAGCGAACAGG
rnacentral:rRNA from 1 species